GAGCGGGAUGCCUCGGCAACAACACGACUUCCGAUUGGCCAAGGGCGGCUGACGGUUGAGGUGCACCUGCCUGCGGGGGACCGCGGUCUCCGGCCUCUGCGCAUGCUCCCGAGCCCCGCCGUGCUGAGGGCGGCGGAGGCGGCGGGCGUGCAGCGCGGCGUGAAGGUGGUGCCGGCCGGACCGUGGCCGCGGGUCGGCUCGAGGGGACGCCCGCCUCCAGCCGGCACGCUCCGUGGGCCCGGCGAUGCGCCCCCCCCAGCCGCGCCCUGCUGGGAGCGGACAGGUUCGCACUGUACCUGGAUGCGCGGCGGACGCCGCCCCAGGUGGGGGGAUCGCGCACCGGCGUCCGCCGGGCCCUGGGGACGGACCCUGAGAUGGGGUCGGAGGAGUCACCCCGGCCGAGAAGCGCUGUGGACGCCCAGGCCCCUCCAGCAAUCCUGCCUGAGGAGUAAGGAAAAGGAAAACAGAAGAACGCCUCGCCAGCCCGCCUUCACGGUGUGACCGGAAAGGCUCUCCUGGUGGCACCGGGAGUUCCGGGGCGUUGGUGGGAAGGGGACUUCCUGGCACGGUGCACCACGUGGUAACACAAUCUCCUCGGCCCUGGGACGACGACAGGUCCUCACGUUGACAUUUGAGAUGCAGCGGAGAGAGGAGUGAGCCCAGCUGGCGAAAGAGAAUGAAUCUCAAUGGAGCAUCCUUUUUCCUUCACAGUCUUUUGUUGACCAGACUCUUUCAUCAAGGUUCUCACAGUGGGAAUUUCUUCUGGAUUGAGCUCUUUCUAUUGUUAGCAACAUGAUUGAAUCCAUAUAUAUCACAAAAUCUGAUCUCCAGAAACCACUGCUGCCAGUGUCUCUGAGGGAGGAAGCAGGGCCAGCGGAGGGUCAGCUGCACUUCCGAAUUGUUCGAGGUUUUACAAGGAAGCACUGCCGCAGCCAAGGCAGCCCCUGCCUGUGUGUCCCGCCACGCGGCCCUGCCCACUGUCCCGAGGUGAAGGCAGAGCAGGGGCGCAGCCUCUGGGUGGGGAGCUGGACUGACCGACACGAACUCAAGUGGACCAAGAAGGACUUUCCGAGGCACUGCUACAGGUGUGGCCCCGGAGCAAAGACCCGGCGAUGGAGGAGGAGGGAGGCCAGGAGGGGUGCCCACAGGGAGCGGGGGCAGAUCUGUGGGCCUGGAACCCAGGCGCUGGGGGAGCGGGAGCCUUAAGGAGAAGAGCACGCGUUUACCCACACGAUCACAUCUGAACGCGGCUAUUAGUUUAGAAUGAGAAAAACAUCUAAAAAAGUAAGACUUUAAAAGCUGACAUGUCCAGCCCUGACCAGUUUGGCUCAGUGGACAGAGCGUCAGCCUGCGGACUCAAGGGUCCCAGGUUCGAUUCCGGUCAGGGGCAUGUACCUUGGUUGCGGGCACAUCCCCAGUGGGAGGUGUGCAGGAGGCAGCUGAUUGAUGUUUCUCUCUCAUUGAUGUUUCUAGCUCUCUCUCCCUCUCCCUCUCUAU